rnacentral:rRNA from 1 species
AAAUUGAAGAGUUUGAUCAUGGCUCAGAUUGAACGCUGGCGGCAGGCCUAACACAUGCAAGUCGAGCGGAAACGAGUUAUCUGAACCUUCGGGGAACGAUAACGGCGUCGAGCGGCGGACGGGUGAGUAAUGCCUAGGAAAUUGCCCGGAUGUGGGGGAUAACCAUUGGAAACGAUGGCUAAUACCGCAUGAUGCCUACGGGCCAAAGAGGGGGACCUUCGGGCCUCUCGCGUCAGGAUAUGCCUAGGUGGGAUUAGCUAGUUGGUGAGGUAACGGCUCACCAAGGCGACGAUCCCUAGCUGGUCUGAGAGGAUGAUCAGCCACACUGGAACUGAGACACGGUCCAGACUCCUACGGGAGGCAGCAGUGGGGAAUAUUGCACAA